GCCCGGAUGGCGCAAUGGGUAGACGCACCGGAUCGAGAGUCCGGCUGUUGUGAGUUCGAAUCUCACUCCGGGCACCA
rnacentral:tRNA from 1 species